rnacentral:tRNA from 1 species
GGAGAUGUACCGAAGUGGCCAUAACGGGGCGCUCUCGAAAAGCGUUUGCCGGGUGACCGGCACGUGGGUUCGAAUCCCACCAUCUCCGCCA